rnacentral:rRNA from 1 species
AACGAACGCUGGCGGCGUGCCUAACACAUGCAAGCCGAACGGAGUGAAAGAGCUUGCUCUUUCAUUUAGUGGCGCACGGGUGAGUAACGCGUAGAUAAUCUGCCUUAGACUCAGGGAUAACAUCUCGAAAGGGGUGCUAAUACCUGAUAAGCCCACGAUGGCGAAAGUCGUUGCGGGAAAAGGGGGCCUCUGCAUAUGCUCUUGAUCUAAGAUGAGUCUGCGUACCAUUAGCUAGUUGGUAGGGUAAGAGCCUACCAAGGCGACGAUGGUUAGCUGGUCUGAGAGGAUGAUCAGCCACACUGGAACUGAGACACGGUCCAGACUCCUACGGGAGGCAGCAGUGGGGAAUUUUGCGCAAUGGGGGAAACCCUGACGCAGCAACGCCGCGUGAGUGAUGAAGACUUUCGGUCGUAAGACUCUGUCUAGAGGGAAGAAAUAGAUAUU